rnacentral:rRNA from 1 species
UACAGAGGGGGCAAGCGUUAUUCGGAAUUAUUGGGCGUAAAGGGCGCGUAGGCGGCCUGACAAGUGGACGGUGAAAUCCCUCGGCUCAACUGAGGAACUGCGUCUGAGACUGGCAAGCUCGAGUGCAGGAGAGGAACGCGGAAUUCCAGGUGUAGCGGUGAAAUGCGUAGAUAUCUGGAGGAACACCGGUGGCGAAGGCGGGUCUCUGGGCCGAUACUGACGCUGAGGAGCGAAAGCGUGGGGAGCGAACAGG